UGUUCGAGUUUGGAUACUAUAAUCGGCAAGUUCUCACCGUGCGAACGUGUUCGCAGAGUCCAUCGCGCCACCUUAUCGAAUUCAGUUAAUUAUUCCUUUUUUUAAUUUCGAAAAUUACUGAUAAAAGUGUUGCCGAGCCGAGGCAAAUGGGUUGUGUUUGUGUUUCGUGUGGAAAUAUCUAUAGAAACGGGGCCUAUCGCAUCGCAAGCUAAAGAGCUAACAGUGGAGUUGGAAAACAAUGUCAACGAAGGUUUAAAUAUAUAAAAACCGCAGAGCUAAAGAAUCAAUUUACAGCCGCUUAAAACGCAAUUAGAUAUUGCUAGCUAGUUAUCAGCAUCAUUUCGAUAUGGCUACUAAUUAACUGACCAGCGCUGUUCACACCUAAAGAAUUGCUUCUGAUUCUCCCGUUUAUAUAUUCUUAAUAUUCGCAUACCCUUUCAUCAUUUCGCACUUGAAAUCGCUGUAAACAAACAUUUGGUGCCAAGUGGCAAUAUAAUUGAUAACUAUAUACUCGUGCAGGUAGUCGUAUAAUCAUAUAGGCCCUGUAUAAAAGGCGUUGGCAACCCAGACUUUAUCGCUAAUACGAACCGAAAGAAUAAUAAUAUGCUAGCGAAUGUUAAUGUCAAAAGGAAGUCAAAAUAAACAGAGGCAAAUGGGUAUGAUUAGGAAUUGGGAAUGAUUAGGACUUGGGUAAGUAAUUAAUGAUAUUUUCCGAUCAAAUUCUUAGCCAUGUUAAUACUAUAUCAACUGAAACAUUUAUCGUGGUGAACAGCAUGAAGUGCAAUACAUUCCAGUGAUAAGAAUGCCUGCUGCUGACAGAUGAUGAGUUCCUUUUGGAGUAUUGCCAAAUCCGUAUGUUCCUUUUCGAUUUCCCCGGCACGAAUCACCAGAGGACCGCGAACCGCAUAUUCCAUGGCAAUAAAGUUGGGAUUUAUGUUUUCCAGUGUGAGCGCUUUCGACGACGACGGCAUUUUGUGGCUGGUUGAAAAGGAACUGAGAAAA